UACGUAGGGUGCGAGCGUUGUCCGGAAUUAUUGGGCGUAAAGAGCUUGUAGGCGGUUUGUCGCGUCUGCUGUGAAGAUCCGGGGCUCAACCCCGGACUUGCAGUGGGUACGGGCAGACUAGAGUGUGGUAGGGGAGACUGGAAUUCCUGGUGUAGCGGUGAAAUGCGCAGAUAUCAGGAGGAACACCGAUGGCGAAGGCAGGUCUCUGGGCCACUACUGACGCUGAGAAGCGAAAGCAUGGGGAGCGAACAGG
rnacentral:rRNA from 1 species